rnacentral:rRNA from 1 species
ACGGCUUCAUGAAACACCCCCCAGGUUUGGUCCUGGCCAGUACUUGGAUGGGAGACCAACUAGGAAGACUGGGUUGCUGCCAUC